rnacentral:tRNA from 1 species
GACCUUGUGGCACAAAGGCAGUGCAUCUGACUCCAGAUCAGAAAGUUGUAUGCCCAAAUCACAUUGGGGUCA